GAUGAACGCUGGCGGCAUGCCUAAUACAUGCAAGUCGAGCGAGAAGCUUGGAAAUGACGCUUCGGUUGAUUUUCCAAGCGGACAGCGGCGGACGGGUGAGUAACGCGUAGGCAACCUGCCCCUGACAGAGGGAUAGCCAUUGGAAACGAUGAUUAAAACCUCAUGACACCGUAGUAGCACAUGCUACAUCGGUCAAAGAUUUAUCGGUCAGGGAUGGGCCUGCGUCUGAUUAACUGGUUGGUGAGGUAACGGCUCACCAAGGUGACGAUCAGUAGCCGACCUGAGAGGGUGAUCGGCCACAUUGGAACUGAGACACGGUCCAAACUUCUACGGAAGGCAGCAGUAGGGAAUCUUGCACAAUGGGCGAAAGCCUGAUGCAGCAACGCCGCGUGAAUGGAUGAAGGCCUUCGGGUUGUAAACUUCUG
rnacentral:rRNA from 1 species